CCUACGGGUGGCUGCAGUGGGGAAUAUUGCACAAUGGGGGAGACCCUGAUGCAGCGACGCCGCGUGAGUGAAGAAGUAAUUAGUUGUGUAAAGCUCUAUCAGCAGGGGAGAAAAUGACGGUACCUGAGUGAGAAGCCCCGGCUAACUACGUGCCAGCAGCCGCGGUAAUACGUAGGGGGCAAGCGUUAGCCGGAUUUACUGGGGGUAAAGGGAGCGUAGACGGCAGUGCAAGUCUGGAGUGAAAGGCGGGGGCUCAACCCCCGGACUGCUGUGGAAACUGUACGGCUGGAGUGCAGGAGAGGUAAGUGGAAUUCCUAGUGUAGCGGUGAAAUGCGUAGAUAUUAGGAGGAACCCCAGUGGCGAAGGCGGCUUACUGGAACGUAACUGACGUUGAGGCUCGAAAGCGUGGGGAGCAAACAGGAUUAGAUACCCGAGUAGUC
rnacentral:rRNA from 1 species